CCCUUAGAUGUUCUGGGCCGCACGCGUGCUACACUGACCGGCGCAACAAGUUUCUUUCCUUGGCUCGAUAGGCCUGGGUAAUCUUUGAACGCCGGUCGUGAUGGGGAUAGAUCCUUGCAAUUUUUGAUCUUCAACGAGGAAUUCCUAGUAAAUGCGAGUCAUCAUCUCGCGUUGAUUACGUCCCUGCCCUUUGUACACACCGCCCGUCGCACCUACCGAUUGAGUGAUCCGGUGAAUAAUUCGGACUGCAGCAGUGUCCAGUUCCUGGACGUUGCAGCGGAAAGUUUAGUGAACCUUAUCACUUAGAGGAAGGAGAANUCGUANCA
rnacentral:rRNA from 1 species